AUUGAACGCUGGCGGCAGGCCUAACACAUGCAAGUCGAGCGGAAACGAUCCUAGCUUGCUAGGAGGCGUCGAGCGGCGGACGGGUGAGUAACGCGUGAGAAUCUACCCAUGAGUGGGGGACAACCCGGGGAAACUCGGGCUAAUACCGCAUACGCCCUACGGGGUAAAGCAGGGGACCUUCGGGCCUUGCGCUGAUGGAUGAGCUCGCGUCGGAUUAGCUUGUUGGUGAGGUAAAGGCUCACCAAGGCGACGAUCCGUAGCUGGUCUGAGAGGAUGAUCAGCCACACCGUGACUGAGACACGGCCCGGACUCCUACGGGAGGCAGCAGUGGGGAAUCUUGGACAAUGGGGGCAACCCUGAUCCAGCCAUGCCGCGUGUGUGAAGAAGGCCUUCGGGUUGUAAAGCACUUUCAGCAGGGAGGAAGGCUUACCCCUAAUACGGGUGAGUACUUGACGUUACCUGCAGAAGAAGCACCGGCUAAUUUCGUG
rnacentral:rRNA from 1 species